CAUUGUUUAUAAUAGAUUUACAAGAAACAUAAUAUUUCAAUUUAAAUGUGCACUGCUUAAUCCUAUUUUUUUUGUUUUAUAACUGUACUUCUACACACUCGUUUCCCGUCGUCGUCCUCUUUGACAGCUGUUUGAUAUAAAAAUCCUUCUUCUCCAAAUGCCGGUUAAUUUCGGAGCUGGUUUAAAAUAUCCGGUCACUUUUAAUAUUAUAUUUACUUGUAGAUCAGAAAUUGUUG